rnacentral:rRNA from 1 species
UACGGGGGGGGCAAGCGUUGUUCGGAAUUACUGGGCGUAAAGGGCGCGUAGGCGGUCCGCUAAGUUCGGCGUGAAAUCCCCUGGCUCAACUGGGGAACUGCGCUGGAUACUGGUGGACUCGAGUACCGGAGAGGAGAGUGGAAUUCCUGGUGUAGCGGUGAAAUGCGUAGAUAUCAGGAGGAACACCGGUGGCGAAGGCGGCUCUCUGGACGGAUACUGACGCUGAGGCGCGAAAGCGUGGGGAUCAAACAGG